ensembl:lncRNA
UUUCUUCAUGUAUUACAGACUGCUAGCAUAGUUAGCAUGCGCUAGCUAAAACACUCAAGUAGCGAACGUCAAGUGCACAUUGUCGGUCCUUGAAAACUGAAAAAAUACAGUCUGAAUCGGACCAAAGACGACUUUCACCCCGAGCAAUGGUGUCUAUGAUGUCUAGACGAAGAGACUGAUGAAACUGAAAGAAGAUAAAGAGGACUUUCACACCAAAGUCAUAAAGAUGUUUGUCCAGAAGGAUACAAUGGACUUAACGUAAAGUAAAGGCAUCAUCUUCCCAUCUGAAGCCCCAUCCGAGGCCGCGUGUCUCACCUGCGGUGCACCUGUCCGCGCGCCCCCGUUAAGCGGCUGAGGGCCGCCCCUUCCUGCCGCGCUGGUCUCCGCCGCUGACCUUCAGGCUGACAGGAAGGAUGACAGGGACAGGGGUGUUUUUUUUGGGGGGGGGUGGCCCUGACCGGCCCCUGACCGGCUCGUAACGGCGGGUGCCACUCGCUGCCACCGGAGCCAAUCAGGGUCAAUCUGUGGCGUGCAGCUGCACACCACAGAGCGGAAACUGCCGGCUCUAAUCUUUUAAUACCUCGGCUGCACCUGCGAAGGUGACCCGGCGGCGCCGCGAGACGCUUACUCUGCGCUCGCCCUCGCGUGGGAAGUGAAAGCGUGCAUCCACGGCAACAGCAAGCGCUGUGGCGGCAGCUGUGUGUGCACAUCGAAGAAAGGCUUUCUCCCCAAAAUCGUGACAAUACUACGUUUUAUUUUGGCCCAUUCAUUUACAUCGCCUUGCAACUACGUCACUAGAAACUAAUAAACGGAUUAUGAAAAUAUAACGCAUACUUUUGGCUAGAAAUGCAUACAAAUGCUGAUGCUUUCUUGAAAUAUUGAGUUUUUCACAGAUAAUAGACCGUCAGUUUGCCAUUUUCUUUUUUUUAGCUGAGGGGAAGUUGAUAGUCACGUUGUAUUGUCACGCUUUCUCCCCAAAAGGAUCUCAAGUUACAAGAGGGACCUUUUCAGAGGAAUAAAUCGGCCUGGCGACUCAUCGUCGACGUCGGCAUUUUGAUGAAAGUCGCUGUGCCUCAUGUAUUUAGGGGCUUCUGUCACAGAUC